AGGGCUCCGGCGAAUCGGUCGUGGCGAUUCCGGCGCUCGCACUUCGGUGUUCCUCGGCGUGCCCGACGGUUGUCGCGUGCGUUUGCGCGAGCCGGAGGAGGCGCGCCAUGCUUCGCGAAGCGACUCGCUGCUGCUGCUCCCCCGCGAGACCCGUGUCGCCCUUUUCACGCGAGUCAUGGCACUGCUCAGGUCCUGUUGCUGCUGGUUGUCUGUGCGGAAAGGAAGCUUCGCUUGUGGCGUCUACACGCUUAUCUUGUACACAAUGCUGGUCGCUACAGGGGGAUCCCACGUCGGUUCUGUGUUCUACUCACCGGUGGGAUUCUCGUUGAUUCUUUUGCUCUUGAGUUUCUCUGGACUGUGCGUCGUAUUUUCCGUGUUGCUUCUCUUGGCCUUGAUUAUCGACAACCGCCUCUUGCUAAUUCCUUGGUUAACUUUCGUGCCCAUGACCACAGCGCUGGACAUUGCACUGUCACUGUAUUUCAUCAAGGACCUUAAAGUCAACGCUUUUGUGAUCAUCAUGUACAUCGUGGACUACACAUUGAGUUCCAUUAACGUCUACUGCAUACUCUGCGUGCUCUCCCAGUACCAAAUGUACGCGCUGGAAAGGAGAACCAUGGGCCAGGGAAGGCGCCCGUCGCCGAAGGAGACGGAACCGAAACGACCACACAGUGCGUCGGCAGGCGCUGCUGUUCCAUGCUACACGAACGGCAGUAACCAUGGCAACAGCCGCUGCACGUUCAGCCGCAUAGCGUCGUGGCCCAGUCGCCGGAUCUCCCGCAAGGCGGCCUUCCCACAGAGCGGAGCACGUGUUUCACCCUGCAGUUUCGUGGCCCUUACUGUCCCUGCUGCCACAGUGACCACCAGCGCGACGGGCAAGACUACAGAGGACGCUAGUAACCCAGCACGGGAAAACUCGCCGACUCCGGAAGGCCCCAAGGCGUGCGGUUAUGAGGUUGACGACACGUCAAGCGCGCUCCACCUGUCUACAGCUGAGGCGUCACUGCAGCAUUCAGCUGCAGAGGUCCAGAUGUCGGUGCUAUAAUCGCGGAAAGAAUUGACAACGGCGUACCAAGAUAGCAAACGUCUCAGAAGCACUCUCGCCUUGGAUUUUUCUCGGAUGGAUUGUUCAGUGAAGCAACGAACAAAAACACAAACAGUGCCAUUGUUGUACGUGAAGGCUAAUGCUGGAAAUAUUUCAUUUCGACCACCAAGAGGCUCCUUCGGACUUCUAUGAGAAAAAAAGAAGACAAGAGAAAGACCAUUGUUUUGAAUAAGAACGCCGCGCACACGAAAUUUAUGGUGUUUCAACGCGCUCAGCAUCGCGGAACAGCUGUGUCAAGACACGGAGCACAAGAGAAAAUCGACUCUUCCGCAGCAAAAAACGCGAGUUUGUGGGUGUUGGCUCCGUUUAUGAAGAGACAAAGCGACAUGGUAUCUGAGAGCGAGAAGUCCUUUUCUUUCGUUUUGCUAAUAUAUCGCUCUUCGUUAUAUAUCCAUAGUUUCAGAAACAAACCCCGUUUUCUUCACGACAGGACUUUGAACGUGACACAUAUAAAUAAUGCUGCAUGCUUUAAGAAGUGCCCGUAGAAAACCACUGGGCAAGCUUAGUGGCACCCUUUCGAUGGUUCGUGGCAACGUCAUCAGAAAACGUUUGUACUCUCUUACAUCAGCUCUAAUUUUGGCUAUUGAGCUGUCGAUUAUGUUUUCAUGUGUGUUUUUGGCAGCUUGAUUCAUUAUCGAAUAAGCAACCAUGACCUACGUACAUACGUGACUUGUGUGCGACUAUAGCUUUUGGGUUGCAUGCAUAUAUAUUCAGGUUUACGAGGUGUGCUCGUCCCUUCCUUUUGUACCACGUGAAAACACUGAGAGCAUUACUUUUCCUAAACUGACAUGACUGAGCGGCAUUUUUACAGCAUAAAUGUGCGUCAAGAUACGCAAGCGCAUCAAUAUCCACCACUGUAUUGUGACGUCGGACCGGCGGAGCAGUCUGGGCACGAUUUCAUUGCUUCCAAAGCCACCACAAAACUGCAUGAGCAGCACCAAGAAGACUGCAUCCGUCGGUGGAUUUACGAACAAAAAAAUAUAUUUUACGUAUAACUUUAGUCUUAUAUGUGACUUAAUGCUGCAGUGUCAAGUCUGUCGCGUUUUAUAUUGCAAAGGCCGCUCCAGUAGACGAUGCAUUGUGCUGUUUCCUGUUAGAGCCACGUCUCCACUUAGACCACAGAAUAUUACGGCACAUGCUCCCAUUAAGCCAAAAUGGAUAACGACUUUUCCAGCUUCUGAUGCUCGCCCUCUGCGCAGACGGCAGCAAGACACCUUCUCUGCUUGUUAAUACUUAUCCUGAGUAAUGUUUCGCUUAGCACUUGCUAAUAAGAAAAUAAACCAAUUUUGCCGUGUACAGAUAAGAAAUAGAGCUGGGUUAAAAAAAUUGGUACGUUUUUCAUAUUCCCUUGGAAAUGUGGGUGUAGAAGCUCGUCUGCAGCUUAGGUGACCUUCAGGGCUAGUGGACAAUGAGCCACUGGAAAAUCAUCAACAUCGCGAUCAUUGUGAUAUAUAUGACUCUUUAUAUGGCUUUCAUAAACCAUGAAAAGAUUUGAUUCAACAGAAAUACCAGCAGUUAAUCAGAAUAAUGGGUACUUAAUGUAGGAAGUUUGUGCCCAUUUCUAUAGGCGCGUACAGAGGCAACACGUAGAUCGCACACAGCAUCACGAAAUUCUUGAAAUCCAGUGAAGGUAUCGGCCGAAGACAAGCUUUGCAAAGUGCCACCACAGCGUGCAUAUUGAUGCGGAGUCAUGAAUUCGCAUGGGGAGGUGUCACUUUCUUGCUUACACAAUUAUCUCUUACGCAAUUCUCACAAUGGGCUUAAACCCUGUGAGACAGCACGACGAAAAUAGAGGCUCAGAACUUCAACAUUUCAUUAUUAAGUAAAAUAAAGCAGAGAAAGGACUAGAAUGAAGAAAGCAACGGGAUGAACGCUGGACUAUUUUCUUUCCCUCUAGUCCAUCUCUCGGUUAGCGCUGUGUUACUCAAGACGAAGCUACAGCAACUCCUUGAAAUAUCAGUUCUGUUAAACAUAUUGUUGGUUGUGAAUAAAAUACAUCCUACAUUACUAACGAAGUUGUCAUCAAAGUGCACUCGAACACAUCUACUGGAACGAUCCUGGAUAGAAGUUGCAGAAUAAAG